UACGAAGGGGGCUAGCGUUGCUCGGAAUCACUGGGCGUAAAGCGCACGUAGGCGGAUCGUUAAGUCGGAGGUGAAAUCCUGGAGCUCAACUCCAGAACUGCCUUCGAUACUGGCGAUCUUGGGAGUCCGGGAGAGGUGAGUGGAACUCCGAGUGUAGAGGUGAAAUUCGUAGAUAAUUCGGAAGAACACCAGUGGCGAAGGCGGCUCACUGGCCCGGUACUGACGCUGAGGUGACGAAAGCGUGGGGAGCAAACAGG
rnacentral:rRNA from 1 species